CUUGUGUGCCCCAGUCAGGCAGUCGACUUCAACCUCAGAGCAGGCCGCACCGUAGACGUAGUAUGGGAGCGGGUGGCGGCCAGCAGUGAUCAGCAUGUCAUCACCUCGCUCUAGGAUAAAGCGGAUUGGGCGGCCAGUCCUGUGGGAAAUGACUCAGGCAGUAAUAGGGGUAUUGAUAUAUUGAUGAGGUUGAAAGGAGGAGGCCCAGCGCUCUGUGGACAUCAGUCUCCCCAUAUGCAGACCCCUCUUGAGGAGCGUUCAUUCAGGACUCUGGUUUCUAGCCCCUGCAAAUCUGGAGAGUACAAAUGAGCUAAGAUGCCCCCAGAUCCUCCUUCUGCGCAGGCGAUUCUAUUCCUUGGAACCUUUAAUGCUGCAGACACGUAUUCCUGCAAGAGAAGGCCCCCAAGCCACGUCAGUGCAGUCCCAUGGUUUCGCUUCUCGCCUGUGUGCUGUUGUGAUGCGCAGUGAAAUGCCCCCGUCCAGCCAACACUUCACCGAUGGAACUGUGCAACCACGGUGUUUAGACAUUUCAGCAUCCCCAAAGACACACUGUCCCACCAGGCUCCAUUCCUUAUUUCCUGUUAACUUCUCAGCACUCUCCAGCCUGGAAUCUGUGUCCUGUCUUUCUAUUUGGCACACAGCAGAAUUAUACAAUAUGUAGUCUUUGUGACUGGUUUUUUUCACUUAGCACGGUGCUUUCAAGUGCCCUCUAUCUGUAGUAUGCAUGAACAUAUCUUGAUUUUAAUGGCUAAAUAUUAUUCCACGGUAUGAGGUGUGCCAACUUUUUUUCUUAGCAUCCCUUAACAGAUGUUGGGCUGUCUUUAGUUUUGACUGUUCCUGCUUUAGUAAUGUUGUUG